rnacentral:rRNA from 1 species
AGAAUCAACGCUGGCGGCGUGCCUAACACAUGCAAGUCGAACGAGAAAGGGGAGCAAUCCCUGAGUAAAGUGGCGACCGGGUGAGUAACACGUGACUAACCUACCCUCGAGUGUGGAAUAACAUCGGGAAACCGAUGCUAAUACCGCAUAACAUCGGCGCUUUUUAAGAGAUGCCGAUCAAAGGAGCAAUCCGCUUGAGGAGGGGGUCGCGGCUGAUUAGCUAGUUGGCGGGGUAACGGCCCACCAAGGCGAAGAUCGGUA